rnacentral:rRNA from 1 species
CGGGUAAGUUCCGACCUGCACGAAUGGCGUAACGACUUCCCAACUGUCUCAACCGCGAACUCGGCGAAAUUGCAUUACGAGUAAAGAUGCUCGUUACGCGCAGCAGGACGGAAAGACCCCGUGACCUUUACUACAGCUUGGUAUUGGUGUUCGGUGUGGCUUGUGUAGGAUAGGUGGGAGACUUUGAAGCAUGGACGCUAGUUCGUGUGGAGUCAUUGUUGAAAUACCACUCUGGUCACUCUGGAUAUCUAACUUCGAACCGUAAUCCGGUUCAGGGACAGUGCCUGGUGGGUAGUUUAACUGGGGCGGUUGCCUCCCAAAAAGUAACGGAGGCGCCCAAAGGUUCCCUCAACCUGGUUGGCAAUCAGGUGUCGAGUGUAAGUGCACAAGGGAGCUUGACUGUGAGACUGACAGGUCGAGCAGGGACGAAAGUCGGGACUAGUGAUCCGGCAGUGGCUUGUGGAAGCGCUGUCGCUCAACGGAUAAAAGGUACCUCGGGGAUAACAGGCUGAUCUUGCCCAAGAGUCCAUAUCGACGGCAUGGUUUGGCACCUCGAUGUCGGCUCGUCGCAUCCUGGGGCUGGAGUAGGUCCCAAGGGUUGGGCUGUUCGCCCAUUAAAGCGGUACGCGAGCUGGGUUUAGAACGUCGUGAGACAGUUCGGU